AUUGAACGCUGGCGGCAUGCCUUACACAUGCAAGUCGAACGGCAGCGGGGGAGAAGCUUGCUUUUCCUGCCGGCGAGUGGCGAACGGGUGAGUAAUACAUCGGAACGUGCCCGGUAGUGGGGGAUAACUAGUCGAAAGAUUAGCUAAUACCGCAUACGACCUGAGGGGGAAAGUGGGGGACCGCAAGGCCGCAUGCUGUAGGAGCGGCGGAUGUCUGAUUAGCUAGUUGGUGGGGUAAAGGCCUACCAAGGCGACGAUCAGUAGCUGGUCUGAGAGGACGAUCAGCCACACUGGGACUGAGACACGGCCCAGACUCCUACGGGAGACAGCAGUGGGGAAUUUUGGACAAUGGGCGAAAGCCUGAUCCAGCAAUGCCGCGUGUGUGAAGAAGGCCUUCGGGUUGUAAAGCACUUUUGUCCGGAAAGAAACGGCUCUGGUUAAUACCUGGGGUCGAUGGCGGUACCGGAAGAAUAAGGACCGGCUAACUACGUGCCAGCCGCCGCCGUAA
rnacentral:rRNA from 1 species